rnacentral:tRNA from 1 species
GAUAAAGAAAGGAAUUAAACCAAUGUAAGUAGGUCUACAGCCCACCGCCUAGCAUUCGGCCACUUUACC